AGAGAGGAGAAAGGAGAAAGAGCAGGCAGAGCCCCUCCCAGGGCUCCGGGAGAGCCGGAGAGAGGCUUGGCACACGGGCCUGGAGGGACAGCACAAGGAGAAUGGCUUCCUUCUGCCAGAGGAUCUCGGGGAAGAAAUCCUUCCCUGACAGGGUGGCAGGCUCUGGCACAGGGUGCCCAGAGCGGCUGCGGCUGCCCCUGGGUCCCUGGAAGCGCCCAAGGCCAGGCUGGACGGGGCUUGGAGCAGCCUGGGACAGUGGAAGGGGUCCCUGCCGUGGCAGGUUGAUGGGACUGGACAAGUUUUAAGGUCCGUUCCAAGGCUGACAAGCUGUAGCAUUUAUCUGACAACAAGAAAUGAAGACAGUGAUUGCAAGAUACAUAAAAAUAGAUCUGGCCGGAAUGGUUGGUGCCUCAUAUAUUUGUGUUUGCACUGUCAGAUGCACCUGUGCCAAGCUUUGUGCCAUUUUAAAUUGUUUGUAUAUUUUAAAAUAUUAUAUUAUGUUAUGUUAUAUAUUAAAAUGUUUAUGUAUUAAAAUAUAUUAUAAUUAUAUUUUUAUAUUGAAAAUGUUUCUAUAUUUUGAAGUAAAUCCCAGUGCAUAUCAGCCCACGUUUCUCCACACCUGGCUGGCCGUGCAGGCUGCUGCCAGUGUUCUCUCACCUGUCAGUGCAGGUGCGGGGCCUGUGGGCAGCAUUGAGGGGAAAUACAAGGAGGAUUUUUUUUUUCAGUAAUCUCACACAGACCUGCUAAACUUUAGGAAUGUUACUACUCAUUUUUAGAGAAUUACAGAAACACCUUCUGUGGCUGAGAAUCUUUUUUGCACAGUAGCCUUAAUAAACAGAGUAUGUACCAUACAGAAAGUCUACGAAAUGCACGCUGAAGCUUUUGAGCAUGAAAUGCAGGUGCUUGCUGAGGUCCUUGCACCUUUACAGUGCUGUUUAUGUGUGAAGGGUGCAAGGACCAACUCAAGAGCUUUAUUUUCUUUGCCUAAAGUUGUAAACCUAUUUACAAACAUUUGAUGAAAAGGCUGUAACAUACAUUAUUUAUCUUAGUUACAGAAUGCAAGCUCCUAGCUUUUCUUUUUUGCAAGAUUUUUCUCUUUUUCCUUGGAGGAAGAAUCACUAAUGUACUGAAUUCAUAUCCUCGGUAUUCUGCUGGCUGGUAUCUGUCUUGUGUAAUUUACUACUUAGUGAAUUUAGAGCUCUGAAUAGAUAUAUUUGCCUGUCCUUUUUCCUUUGAAGUUGCAGGCCAUGCCAAAACAACAGCUGGAACAUUCUACUGAAGUGUUUGUGUAGAAUAACAAUGGAAAGUUUUUUUUUCACUCCUAAAUUUGCAAUGAAAACAAUCGUGUGUACUA